CCUACGGGGGGCAGCAGUCGGGAAUAUUGCGCAAUGGAGGAAACUCUGACGCAGUGACGCCGCGUGCAGGAAGAAGGUUUUCGGAUUGUAAACUGCUUUAGACAGGGAAGAAAAAAGACAGUACCUGUAGAAUAAGCUCCGGCUAACUACGUGCCAGCAGCCGCGGUAAUACGUAGGGAGCGAGCGUUAUCCGGAUUUAUUGGGUGUAAAGGGUGCGUAGACGGGUAAUUAAGUUAGUUGUGAAAUCCCAUGGCUCAACUGUGGAACUGCAACUAAAACUAAAUAUCUUGAGUACUGGAGAGGAA
rnacentral:rRNA from 1 species